rnacentral:misc_RNA from 1 species
AAAAGAUCUUUUAAGGAGGUUCCUAUGGGUAGACGUCCUAAUUCACCUCCAAUUUCAACCAAGUCGUCUUUUGUCUUUCAACCGCUUGAUGAGUACCCCACCUCAUCUGGUGCUCCAAUGGAUGACCCUGAUGUUUGGAGACCACCAAGUCGGGACACAACAAGAAGACCUGGAAGAGCAGGUCAGGGGGGUAUGAGAAAGUCCCCACAAGAUGGAGCGUGGGCUCGUGCAUCUACUACAAGGACUGGAACAACAAUCCGUGGGGGAAGGACCAGUGGCUCUACUAAGGCUGGUACUGGGGUUCGAUCUUCAACUACUGGGAAAAAAGCACCUGGAAAAUCUGCAAAGUCCGACUCUACGGAUGGUGAACCUGAAGAGGGGAAGAGUAAAAAAGGUCAGUACGAGGGGCCUGAUGCAGACCUGGCUGCUAUGCUUGAGAGAGAUGUCUUGGAUAAUAGCCCUGGUGUGAGAUGGGACGAUGUUGCUGGGUUAAGUGAGGCCAAAAGACUUCUGGAGGAAGCAGUUGUUCUUCCACUGUGGAUGCCAGAAUAUUUCCAGGGAAUCAGGAGACCAUGGAAGGGUGUUCUUAUGUUUGGGCCUCCUGGAACGGGGAAGACACUUUUGGCUAAGGCUGUUGCUACCGAGUGUG